GACGAACGCUGGCGGCGUGCCUAAUACAUGCAAGUCGAACGCUUUUUCUUUCACCGGAGCUUGCUCCACCGAAAGAAAAUGAGUGGCGAACGGGUGAGUAACACGUGGGUAACCUGCCCAUCAGAAGGGGAUAACACUUGGAAACAGGUGCUAAUACCGUAUAACACUAUUUUCCGCAUGGAAGAAAGUUGAAAGGCGCUUUUGCGUCACUGAUGGAUGGACCCGCGGUGCAUUAGCUAGUUGGUGAGGUAACGGCUCACCAAGGCAACGAUGCAUGGCCGACCUGAGAGGGUGAUCGGCCACACUGGGACUGAGACACGGGCCAGACUCCUACGGGAGGCAGCAGUAGGGAAUCUUCGGCAAUGGACGAAAGUCUGACCGAGCAACGCCGCGUGAGUGAAGAAGGUUUUCGGAUCGUAAAACUCUGUUGUUAGAGAAGAACAAGGAUGAGAGUAGAACGUUCAUCCCUUGACGGUAUCUAACCAGAAAGCCACGGCUAACUACGUGCCAGCCGCCGCCGUAA
rnacentral:rRNA from 1 species